rnacentral:rRNA from 1 species
UACGUAGGGUGCAAGCGUUGUCCGGAAUUAUUGGGCGUAAAGCGCUCGCAGGUGGUUCGUUGCGUCGUGCGUGAAAGACCCCGGCUCAACUGGGGAGGGUCGUGCGAUACGGGCGAACUGGAGGCCAGUAGGGGGAUGCGGAAUUCCGGGUGUAGUGGUGGAAUGCGUAGAGAUCCGGAGGAACACCAGCGGCGAAGGCGGCAUCCUGGACUGGUCCUGACACUCAUGAGCGAAAGCGUGGGGAGCGAUCCGG